AUUUUCUGCCUCUGAAGUACAACUAUCAAAUGAACUAAUUAAUAUAUAUCUUGAUGAUAUACUCCAAAAACAAUGCUCAAUUCUUCUACAAAGGACAACAGUUUUUUAACUAAGAAUGAAAUCUAAACAUAACUAUACCAUGCAGACAUUUCCCCCUGUAUUUUAAUGGAAGUUUAUCUUUAAGAGGUGAUCUCUCCAGACCCCUGUUUAAUGCCCUGUUGGACAGGACAUUUUGGUGCCCCACUUUGGGCGCCCCAACCCUGUGACUGAGCGAUGACUUUCUUGGAGAGAUGAAGACAGCUCUAUGUGAGUCCAGCUGUCCUUUCUAGCCCCCUAAGUCACUGAACUAGCAGGUGGCGUGAACAAUGAGGCUGGAAGCCACCAAGUGCUCCCAGCCAUCUAGAAAUGAAGCCAUGAAUCAACUUUCUCUCCCUACUUUCUACACAGCCUCUCCAUUCAUUCUUGACUGUAUGAGAGUUCCUGGACAACCUAGAAUGAAGACCAGAGCUCUGACUAUGUGA